GAUGAACGCUGGCGGCGUGCUUAACACAUGCAAGUCGAACGGAAAGGCCCAAGCUUGCUUGGGUACUCGAGUGGCGAACGGGUGAGUAACACGUGGGUGAUCUGCCCUGCACUUCGGGAUAAGCCUGGGAAACUGGGUCUAAUACCGGAUAGGACGAUGGUUUGGAUGCCAUUGUGGAAAGUUUUUUCGGUGUGGGAUGAGCUCGCGGCCUAUCAGCUUGUUGGUGGGGUAAUGGCCUACCAAGGCGUCGACGGGUAGCCGGCCUGAGAGGGUGUACGGCCACUUUGGGACUGAGAUACGGCCCAGACUCCUACGGGAGGCAGCAGUGGGGAAUAUUGCACAAUGGGCGCAAGCCUGAUGCAGCGACGCCGCGUGGGGGAUGACGGCCUUCGGGUUGUAAACUCCUUUCGCUAGGGACGAAGCGUUUUGUGACGGUACCUGGAGAAGAAGCACCGGCUAACUACGUG
rnacentral:rRNA from 1 species